rnacentral:lncRNA from 1 species
CUCAGUCACAAAUCUGGGGCAGUGCCAGACGGGAAAAUUUGAAAUUUUCAGUUUUGAAAGAGAGAAGGAACAAGCCACAAAAUGUGAGAAGAAAAGGUUUUUAGCGAGUGCAAAAUCUGGCUGCGGUGUGAUUCCCACCCACGAGAGCUAAACGAUUGCUUCUAAUUCUACACCAGAGGAGCAUCAACUCCCUAAAUCUUGCAAUUUCCAUGACUAGGUUCUUGAAAUUUCUCCCUCCCUAUCUCUCUCUUUCCCUCUCAAUUCAAAUGGAUUUUCGUUCCAUUUCAAUUCACAUUAUGCAAAAAAAAAAAAAAUGUUAUCUGUAAUGAAUGAUUUGAAACUCAACAACCAUGAACAAGAGAGCGAUCAACAGAAAAGAAGGAGAUCUGGUGUAGAAAAUCUGAAAAUGAGAAUGUAGAGAAAGAAAGGGGAAUGAAGAGAUG